GGUAACCAGCGUAUAGGGAUCGGCUACCACCGCCGUCGCAUCCGGCGGCCGUGACAAUGCGGGGAGCCACAACCGCGUCCGCCCGCUUGUAAUCUUCUUCUCCCCGGCCGUUUCUUGUCGACCCACUCGGUUUGGGGCUCCCGUCGGCGCCCAUCCUGGGCGGCGUCGCGAUCCACGAACUACUAACAUGUUUCGGCAAGAUCUAGACUGGAGAUAAUCUAGCUUGUCGAUUAAUAUCUGCAACCCGGACGUGUUGUACGGUCACCAGAUCCACCGAUGCGACCGAUGAUGCUUACGAUGAUGUUCUUUAAUCAUGUGUUCAUCAAUUUCCAGAGAUAUAGAUCUGUCAAUCUCUUAGAGACGUUUACUAGAAUCGUUUGUCUCUAAAGAUCGAUUAAUGGAUGCAAACACCUUAAGAUGCCUCUAAAAAUAAUUCCAUCCAAAAGUUAUCGAUAACUUUUUAAUAUGAAAUCGGGUAGAUACAAACUUUAUACCAAAACAAUGAAGCUUUGUAGUUGAGAGUUUUUUUUUCUAUUUUGAAAUUGUUUAGAGUCCCAAAAUAUUAUUUAAGGUUCAUAUAUUUUGAAAUUUGAAAUUUUUAAACAACCUUGAUGUUGUCAUGGUAUAUACCAGAGUUAUAGCGGCUAUCCUGAUCUAUGUUUCUUUGAUAAGUUUUUAUUUAAAUUUGUUUAG
rnacentral:lncRNA from 7 species